ensembl:lncRNA
GGAGGUGUGAGAGGGGGUGUUGGGCAAAGUCUUCCGUGGGGUAUGUGGUGUUUUCUGUCCUUACUGCUAAGUCUUCAGUGAUGUUUCUUAGGAGAUUCACGUGGCCUUCUCAUUCCUUAAAAGGGCUGGCAGGUGUCCCUCUCGUUAGAAGUUUUCUGUUUUACAGAUCUGUUCAAUAUUGCUGACUCCUUGAAAGUAGCUGAAUACUGAGAUUAUCCCCAGUGGGUUCAGAGAAAAGGUAACUGUAAGAGAUUAGGAGCAUUUACCCCUCUCCAAAGGGUAAUUGGCCUAGAAUAUGGUAAUUUUAUGAAAGUUUUACGGUCGCUUAGGAAGGAUGAGGUCCCUCUAGCGAUUGGCCAUAAUGAUUCAUUUCCCCAGUGCUCAUCCUAGAGCCUGACAUGUAGUCGAAACCUGAUGAACGGAGAGAAGGGUAAGGUUCAGAGUGGUCGAGUAACUUAAGCCAAAGGCCAUAUAGCUGGUAAAAGGGAGGCCUGGAGUCAAACCCAGGUUCCUGGAUUCCAGAACACAGGUGUUUAUUCCCUGCCCUAAUGGUUUAGCAUAGCCAGGAGCACACAGUAAGCACAUAAUCCUUAUUGAACUCAUUUAUUUUAUUUCUUAAAGUUUAUCUCUCCUGCCCCAGCCUGGCUAGGAUCAAAAAGCAGGGAUUAAGUUUACAACUUUCCCUUUUUUAAGAAAAAACACUUUGAUUUCGGGCAACGAUGAGUCAUUAUGCCACUGACUUUUGCUAAAUUCGCUGAUACAAGUCCCAUCUCUCAUGGUGCUGUGUUGAAAGGCUGGGGCUUUUAUCCCAGGGCACUUAGGUAGAUAAAGGAAUAAUACAGGCUGAAAAGCUUAACUACUCACUGGGGGAGCAGAAGGCUGAUUAUUCCAGCCACAAAAGAUAUACUUUGGCAGAAGGAAAAAAAAAUUAAAAUCUCAGCAUUAAUAUGUACAAGCUCAACAGUGUUAAAAUUUAUUUUAUAAACACAGUUAUAUUAAAGGUAAUUUUGAUUAAAAAAAGUCUCACAUAAAUGCUAAUACUACUAUUUUCAUUGCUGGGAAUUCCUUCUGAGUCCCUGGUUGAAUGGGGACACAGGUGAGAUGAUAAGGAACUUGAGUUGUAUUCUAUUUUCAUUUAACAUUUUAUUAUAAAUAUACUUUGUUGUUGCUAAAUAUUCAUAAUUACCAUUUUUAUUGACUGCAGAAUAUUGCUGCUGCAUCGUGUGUUAUUUAGCCACGAUACUGUGGUUGGACAUUUAUAUUGUUUUCAGGUUUUCCCAUUUUAGAUCAUGCUGUAAUCAGCCUCCUUAGAUCUUUAGCAUUUUACUUGGGAGCUUCUCCUGCUUUGGUUAAAACCCUCCAUUAAAAACAAAUUUGUUUUAAGCUCUGGGGUACAUGGCAGGACAUGCAGGGUUGUUACAGGUAAAUGUGUGCCAUGGUGGUUUGCUGCAUCUAUCAAACCAUCACCCAGGCAUUAAGCCCAGCAUGCAUUAGCUAUUCUUCCCUAUGCUUUCCUUCUUCCUGACCCCACGACAGGCCCCAGUGUGUGUUGUUCCCCUCCCUAUGCCCAUGUCUCAUUGUUCAGCUCCCA